GGCAAUGUGUUGCAGUAGAAAGAGUGCUGGAUUUAGAAUUUGGGGACCUGAGUUCAAGUCUCAGCUUUGUCA
rnacentral:tRNA from 1 species